AUCAAAGGAGCAAUCCGCUGAAAGAUGGACUCGCGUCCGAUUAGAUAGUUGGCGGGGUAACGGCCCACCAAGUCGACGAUCGGUAGCCGGACUGAGAGGUUGAUCGGCCACAUUGGGACUGAGACACGGCCCAGACUCCUACGGGAGGCAGCAGUGAGGGAUAUUGGGCAAUGGGGGAAACCCUGACCCAGCAACGCCGCGUGGGGGAAUGAAGGUCUUCGGAUUGUAAACCCCUGUCAUGUGGGAGCAAAUUAAAAAGAUAGUACCACAAGAGGAAGAGACGGCUAACUCUGUGCCAGCAGCCGCGGUAAUACAGAGGUCUCAAGCGUUGUUCGGAAUCACUGGGCGUAAAGCGUGCGUAGGCUGUUUCGUAAGUCGUGUGUGAAAGGCGCGGGCUCAACCCGCGGACGGCACAUGAUACUGCGAGACUAGAGUAAUGGAGGGGGAACCGGAAUUCUCGGUGUAGCAGUGAAAUGCGUAGAUAUCGAGAGGAACACUCGUGGCGAAGGCGGGUUCCUGGACAUUAACUGACGCUGAGGCACGAAGGCCAGGGGAGCGAAAGGGAUUAGAUACCCCUGUAGUCCUGGCAGUAAACGGUGCACGCUUGGUGUGCGGGGAAUCGACCCCCUGCCUGCCGGAGCUAACGCGUUAAGCGUGCCGCCUGGGGGAGUACGGUCGCAAGAUUAAAACUCAAAGAAAUUGACGGGGACCCGCACAAGCGGUGGAGUAUGUGGCUUAAUUCGAUGCAACGCGAAGAACCUUACCUGGGCUUGACAUGUAAUGAACAACAUGUGAAAGCAUGCGACUCUUCGGAGGCGUUACACAGGUGCUGCAUGGCCGUCGUCAGCUCGUGUCGUGAGAUGUUUGGUUAAGUCCAGCAACGAGCGCAACCCCUGUUGCCAGUUACCAGCACGUGAAGGUGGGGACUCUGGCGAGACUGCCCAGAUCAACUGGGAGGAAGGUGGGGACGACGUCAGGUCAGUAUGGCCCUUAUGCCCAGGGCUGCACACGUACUACAAUGCCCAGUACAGAGGGGGCCGAAGCCGCGAGGCGGAGGAAAUCCUAAAAACUGGGCCCAGUUCGGACUGUAGGCUGCAACCCGCCUACACGAAGCCGGAAUCGCUAGUAAUGGCGCAUCAGCUACGGCGCCGUGAAUACGUUCCCGGGUCUUGCACACACCGCCCGUCA
rnacentral:rRNA from 1 species